rnacentral:rRNA from 1 species
CCUACGGGGUGCAGCAGUGGGGAAUAUUGGGCAAUGGAGGCAACUCUGACCCAGCAAUGCCGCGUGAGUGAUGAAGGUAAUUUUAUUGUAAAGCUCUUUUCUUUGGAACGAAUAAAUGACGGUACCAAAGGAAUAAGCCCCGGCUAACUACGUGCCAGCAGCCGCGGUAAUACGUAGGGGGCAAGCGUUGUCCGGAUUUACUGGGUGUAAAGGGCGUGCAGCCGGAGAGACAAGUCAGAUGUGAAAUCCACGGGCUCAACCCGUGAACUGCAUUUGAAACUGUUUCCCUUGAGUGUCGGAGAGGUAAUCGGAAUUCCUAGUGUAGCGGUGAAAUGCGUAGAUAUUAGGAAGAACACCAGUGGCGAAGGCGGAUUACUGGACGAUAACUGACGGUGAGGCGCGAAAGCGUGGGGAGCAAACAGGAUUAGAUACCCGAGUAGUC